GGGGUUGUGACUCAGUGGUAAAGUGCUUGCCUAGCAUGCAUGAAGCACUGGGUUCCAACCCCAGCACCA
rnacentral:tRNA from 1 species